UCCUUCUUCUUCUUCUUCAAUUUGCUCAUUAUUUUUCUUUUCUCUCUAAAAAAAAACAAAAAUCAUGAGAAUGAGCUGCAAUGGUUGUCGAGUUCUUCGAAAAGGUUGCAGUGAAAAUUGCAGUUUAAGACCCUCUCUUCAAUGGAUCAAAUCACCUGAUUCACAAGCCAACGCUACUGUCUUCCUCGCCAAAUUUUACGGCCGGGCUGGACUCAUCAAUCUCAUCAAUGCUGGACCCCAACAUCUCCGCCCUGCAAUAUUUAGGUCUUUAUUGUACGAGGCUUGUGGCCGGAUAAUUAAUCCGGUAAACGGAUCAGUCGGGUUAAUGUGUUCCGGCAAUUGGCAGCGUUGUCAGGACGCUGUCGAAUCGGUACUCAAAGGAUCAACAAUCAUGCAAGUACCGAUUAAUAAUGAUGAUGAUAAUAACAGUAGUGAUCAAAUUGUACCGCUAAAAGGAUGUGACAUACGACAUGUUUCAAAGUAUAACUCAACAAAUUCGGAUAACCAACAAGUCAAAACUAGGAAUGGCAGGCUUAAGCGUAAGGGUAGUACUUUUGAUUCUGUUGCUUCAGCUUCCGCGGAAGCUGAAGCAGCAGAAGAGUACUUGUUGAAGAAUCAACCCCCGUUAAAAUUCAGUAUAACGGGAUGGGAUCAAUUUGAAGAGAUAGAAGAUGAGAUGAUCAAACGCUCACAAAGUCAUGACUCGUUUUCAGUUGAAACGGUUGAACCGACCCUGUUGGUGAACCGGGUUGACCCGGUAAAAUUGGAGGAAGAUGGUGAUCUCCUAGGAUUAGACCUUACUCUUGGGUUGAUGAGUCCAGCUUAAUAAUAACAGGCCGAUGACUCUCGAGAGCUCUUAUUGACGGAAUCAUUGAAUUCAUCACAACAUUUUGGGCUUUUUUAGUAAAGGGAAAAAUGGUUUCCUUUCUUUAAUGAUUUUGAUUGGCCAAAAUAAUGAAGAACACGUGGAUGCAUGGAGGAAAUUUUGUCAACAAAUGCUAUGCAUGCAAUGGGUAAGUAAAGUUUGGAUUUUGCCAAGUUUUUGAGGAAACAAAAGUUUAUGCUUACUUUUGCCUUAUUUAUGGAUCAUAGACAUGAGGAAUAUGCUAGACUAGCUGUUGUGGACAUUUUCCCAAGAAUUUAGGUGUUUCUACGCAAUUAAUAAAAAUAUUUUUAAAA